UACGGGGGGAGCAAGCGUUGUUCGGAUUUACUGGGCGUAAAGGGCGCGUAGGCGGUCGUGACAAGUCACUUGUGAAAUCUCCGGGCUUAACUCGGAACGGUCAAGUGAUACUGUCGGACUAGAGUACAGAAGGGGCAACUGGAAUUCUCGGUGUAGCGGUGAAAUGCGUAGAUAUCAGGAAGAACACCCGUGGCGAAGGCGGUUCUCUGGGACGGUACUGACGCUGAGACGCGAAAGCGUGGGGAGCGAACAGG
rnacentral:rRNA from 1 species